GUUAUACACAUCGAGUAACUAAGUUUUAAAUUUACUAACUUGCGUUUUAAGUUUCCUAGAGUCUAACAUAAAAAGUUCCCAUUCUAAAAGUGUCCCAUGCGACCAGGAUAGGCCCCCAAAGUAAUCCAUUAUCGUGUCUAUCGUGAGGUUUCGAUUUCAUUCGAUUUCUAUUAAAAUAUUUUGCAGAACCACGUUUUACUUUAAUUUUGCCGUCUGAAACCAUUCUGUAUUAUAACAAGCUUUAUUUAUUAAACGAUAACAUCGAGUUAUAUGCUUCUUCAAAGAAAAUGAAUGAAUGUUCUAUACAUUUUGAUGGUGUUUCUCAAGAUUUAAUUUUAAUUACAAAAAAAAGAUAUUUAUCAAUUAAGCGUGCCAAAAAGUUAUGGUUAUUGUAUCCUGGAUAUAAACAACAAUCAGUUACGAUAGUUUUUCAUAACAUGGACAUGCGUAUUUAAAAAUGUACUUAACAAUAAAGUUAUACAGAAGAAAUGCUCAUUUUUUGUUUACAAUUUGCAUUUAAUCAUUUGUAAAUAAAUAUGUAUUUUUUGAAAUUCAGUUUACAAUUUUAUGUUU